UUUUUUGUCCUAUACUGCACGAUUAUAACUGUCUGGCCAUACUUAUUGAGGGUUAAGUAGAUACAUCAUGGCGGAGGCUAUAAAAAUAGUGUGAAAUAAGAAAUAUUAGUGUGAUAUAGGAGUUAUAGGUUAGCCUGAAAGUGCAAAACAAGAAGAAAACAAAUCCAGACGAGUAGAAAAAAAUACCUAAAAUGCCAAAAAAGCAUUCUUAAGUGAGAAAAAAAU
rnacentral:lncRNA from 1 species